rnacentral:tRNA from 1 species
UCCCUGAUGGCUCAGCAGUAAAGAAUCUGCCUGCAAUGCAGGAGACCUGGGUUCAAUCCCUGGGUCGGGAA